UAAUCUAUGGCCACUCGAGAUGAGUAUUGCAGUCCACUGACGAGCCGCUAUGCUAGUAAGGAGAUGUCCUACAACUUCUCCGAUCAAAAAAAGUUUUCUACGUGGCGAAAACUAUGGCUCUAUCUCGCAACAGCUCAAAAGGACUUGGGCUUGAACAUCACGGACGAACAACUUGAUGAGAUGAAGAUGAAUACAGACGUUAUUGACUUCGAACUUGCUGCCGCCGAGGAGAAGAAGCGACGUCAUGACGUCAUGGCUCACGUGCACACGUUUGCUGCUUGCUGUCCAAAAGCGGCACCAAUUAUUCAUUUAGGAGCCACGUCUUGCUACGUCGGCGAUAACACUGAUUUGAUAGUUUUGAGAGAUGCAUUCAAGAUUUUGUUACCAAAGUUGACUCGUUGCAUUGAUCGUCUGGCAAAGUUUGCUGAAGAACACAAGUCUCUUCCUACUCUCGGUUACACUCAUUUUCAGCCAGCACAGCUGACGACUGUUGGUAAACGGGCUUGUUUGUGGCUGUCAGAUUUGCUGAUGGACUUACGUAAUCUCAGUAGAAUGUGUGGAGACUUAAGAUUCAGAGGAGUCAAGGGAACAACAGGAACUCAAGCCAGUUUUUUGGCACUUUUUGAUGGCGACCAUAGUAAAGUUGAUGAACUUGAUCAAAUGGUGACAGAAAUGGCUGAAUUCUCAAGUUCAUCCAUAGUGACUGGUCAGACAUACAGUCGGAAGGUGGAUUUUGAUUUAAUGUGCACUUUAGCAAGUUUAGGAUCAAGCGUUCACAAGAUUUGCACCGAUAUCAGGCUAUUGGCUAAUAAGAAAGAGAUUGAGGAACCGUUUGAAUCAGAUCAGAUUGGAUCGAGUGCAAUGCCUUACAAGCGUAAUCCAAUGCGAUGUGAACGAUGUUGCAGUUUAGCUCGGCAUUUGAUGGUUAUUGUUAAUGAUCCACUACACACUGCGUCAGUGCAAUGGCUCGAGAGAACGCUAGAUGACAGUGCUAACAGACGCAUUUGCUUACCACAAGCAUUUCUUGCUGCGGACAUCAUCUUGAACACUUUGCAGAAUAUCUUUGAAGGAAUGGUGGUUUACCCUAAGGUAAUUGAGAAGCAUAUCAAACAAGAACUACCGUUUAUGGUUAGUGAAAAUAUCAUUAUGGGAAUGGUGACAGCUGGAGCCAACAGACAGGAAUGUCAUGAGCACAUUCGUGUUCUGUCUCAGGCCGCAGGCGAUCAAGUUAAACGUCACGGGAAAGAAAAUGAUUUGAUGGAUCGAAUCGGUUCUUCUUCAUACUUUUCUCCCAUUCACGAUAAACUGGACAAACUUCUCGACCCAUCAUCAUUCACUGGAAGAGCAGCAGAACAGGUAGGAAGGUUUUUGAAAGAAGAAGUCUAUCCUGCUUUAGCUCCAUACCAAGACAUUCUUGAAGGAAGAGCCAGUAUAAAUGUGAACAUUUUUAUGUAGAGUGAUGUAUUACUCGAUAAAUGUUGAGAUGGUUGGGUAAAUGUCACGAAUCAGAGAGUUUGGUCAUGUAAUGGUACAGUAUCAUGGACGAAACCCCAUCGUUUUCGUGUCACCACCGGAAUUGAACAGCAUACUUCACAUUGUUAUAAUUUAUGUUUCUUGACAACGGUCAUGUAAAAGUAAAUAUCGCAGUACAGUCUAACCGUAAUCUACUCUUGCUGUUUCUGUUGCCAAAAUAGUGUCAUUUCUUUACUUGUACUUGAAAUUGUUGCUCUCUGGUUCAAGUCCAAAUUACAUGCACGGACGGCAUGCACACUUUUUGGCGACUGGAAUAUAGACGGUCUUGCGGUGUACUCGUUUUUCAAUUUGGCACUGUAUGGUGUACGGAACUUUCUUUACGUCUGUGGUCCAACAGCAGC